GCACAGCACUGGAAAUUGUAGCCCAGAGAAAGGGGUAAGAUCACCCUCCCUGGAGGUAUUUAAAAGACAUGUAGAUGUGCCACUUAGGGACAUGGUCUAGUAGUAGACUUGGCAGUGUUAGGUUAAUGGUUGGACUCAAUGAUCUUAAAGGUCUUUUCCAGCAUAAAUGAUUCU